CAGCAGCCGCGGUAAUACGAAGGGGGCUAGCGUUGUUCGGAAUCACUGGGCGUAAAGCGCACGUAGGCGGACACUUAAGUCAGAGGUGAAAUCCCAAGGCUCAACCUUGGAACUGCCUUUGAUACUGGGUGUCUUGAGGUCGAGAGAGGUGAGUGGAACUGCGAGUGUAGAGGUGAAAUUCGUAGAUAUUCGCAAGAACACCAGUGGCGAAGGCGGCUCACUGGCUCGAUUCUGACGCUGAGGUGCGAAAGCGUGGGGAGCAAACAGGAUUAGAUACCCCGGUAGUCCCUGUCUCUUAUAC
rnacentral:rRNA from 1 species